rnacentral:lncRNA from 1 species
GGAGGGAGAGAGGAGGAAGGGGUGAGAGGGAGAAACCUGCCGCGGCUCUCCGCCUCUUUGUCUGCUCUGGGACUUGGAACAAAAGGGGAAACUCUGAUGAACUCCUUCUCCAGCUCCCUGGACGCCCGAGUAUCUCUUUCUCGCAACUUUGUCAACGCGACUUUCUCCGCUGUCAGGCUGCGCAAAAGUAUCCUAGCGCCUCGCAGGCUGCAACAAUGGAAACAAUGUCCCUUCAAAGUGCGACGAAGUGGAGGGAGAAGGUGUCAUACCAGCGACUCCAAGAGUCAUGUCACCCACUUAGCAGGAGUACUUCUACUGAAAUGCCUUCGAAUUUCUCUUACUGGAUAUAUACCUACCAGCCGCUAGCAUGAAGAUGCCAGGACCGCUGCAAGUUAGCACUGGACAAAGUAGCAUCAACUUCUUCAUUUAGAGUUUCUUCAGUUAAAUUGCUGGGAUUUUCGACAAGGCUUUCCUUAUGUGGAUUAUUGGAGUGUGAUGCCCGAGAAUUCUCUACUUGUAGAAGCACGCCCACGGGACUGCAGAAGCCUUCACACCCACCCAGCACGCUCAGAUGGGAAUGAGUGAUGGCCAUCCAGUGACCAGCUGGAUCUGACUGCCUUACAAGACGCAUGUGUAUGAUUAAGAGAGAGACAUUCGUGACUCCCAGAUGUACCUCCUUCCUGUCCCACAGUGUUCCUGAAGGGAGUGAGUUAUGGGGUAACUUAUAACACAGCAGGCUCUUCCUCAAGAUAGCUCUUGUCAAAACAGGAAGACGAAACUCGGGUUUCCAUGAGGAGACCACAGCUUGGGAUCCUGUCUGGAUGUACAAGCAGAAGCAUCUUCAUACUUUUCCAUUUCUAACCAUCAUGCCUCACCCCACCCUCCCAAGGCGACAUCUGCAGAGAGGUGGAACCAUCUAGGGAGGCCUGCCACUGUUUGCUGAGCUCCGGGUGAGGAUGAAGACACUUUGACAUGGCCAGCUUCAGACUCGGGAUCUGUCGGUGUUAGCAGCCGAAGGAGAAUGAGGAGGAAGAGGAGGAGAAAGAGGAGGAGGAAGUAAGACAGAGGGGGACAAGAGGACCAAGAGGGCACAUGGCUGAGGAGGAGGAGAACAACAACAACAACAACAACAACAACAACAACAAGAAGCUUGGUGGUGAAACUUGGAAGCCCUCUCCAGGAUGCAGCAGGUAGCUGAGGAGAAAACGAAGACUGACCAGCCCAGAGCUCAGAGCUUCCUCCCAUGCUCAGGAUUUACCACCAAUGCCAUUACAUCGGCCUCUUCUUGUAUGCCUCUGGAAACCACAUGUGUCCUCUGUUUGUAAUGGUUUGGCUAUGGUUGCUGGCCCCUCUUGGACAUUGUUUUCAGAACUUAAAGAAACAUUGCUUUAAAGAUUUAUUAGAACAUAUUUAAAAUAAAACCAUCUUCUCAUUUAGUAUGCAA